AUACGGAGGGUGCAAGCGUUAAUCGGAAUUACUGGGCGUAAAGCGUACGUAGGCGGUUCGUUAAGUUAGAUGUGAAAGCCCCGGGCUUAACCUGGGAACUGCAUUUAAAACUGGUGAACUAGAGUUGAGUAGAGGGGAGUGGAAUUUCAGGUGUAGCGGUGAAAUGCGUAGAGAUCUGAAGGAACACCAGUGGCGAAGGCGACUCCCUGGACUCGAACUGACGCUGAGGUACGAAAGCGUGGGUAGCAAACGGAAUUAGAUACCCUAGUAGUCC
rnacentral:rRNA from 1 species